rnacentral:rRNA from 1 species
AGUGAACGCUGGCGGUAGGCCUAACACAUGCAAGUCGAACGGCAGCACAGUAAGAGCUUGCUCUUACGGGUGGCGAGUGGCGGACGGGUGAGGAAUACAUCGGAAUCUACUUUUUCGUGGGGGAUAACGUAGGGAAACUUACGCUAAUACCGCAUACGACCUACGGGUGAAAGCAGGGGAUCUUCGGACCUUGCGCGAUUGAAUGAGCCGAUGUCGGAUUAGCUAGUUGGCGGGGUAAAGGCCCACCAAGGCGACGAUCCGUAGCUGGUCUGAGAGGAUGAUCAGCCACACUGGAACUGAGACACGGUCCAGACUCCUACGGUAGGCAGCAGUCGGGAAUAUUGGACAAUGGGCGCAAGCCUGAUCCAGCCAUCCCGCGUGGGUGAAGAAGGCCUUCGGGUUGUAAAGCCCUUUUGUUGGGAAAGAAAAGCAGCAGGUUAAUACCCCGCUGUUCUGACGGUACCCAAAGAAUAAGCACCGGCUAACUUCGUG